UACAGAGGGGGCAAGCGUUAUUCACAUUUAUUAGGCGUAAAGGGUGCGUAGAUGGUUUUUUCGUUUUAUUUCUUGAAAAUUCAUUAUUUUAAAAAUGAAAGAGGGAGAUAAACUCAAAGCUAGAGUAGAGAUAAAAUUAGCAGAAUUGUUGGUGUAAGGAUGAAAUCUAUUGAUUCUAAUAGGAAUGCCAUUUGGCGAAGGCAGCUUUUUGUUUUCUACUGACAUUCAGGCACGAAGGUAUGGGGAUCAAACAGG
rnacentral:rRNA from 1 species